GGGAGGGAGGGGCCGCCCUGGCCCUGGGUGGUGGCCCUGCGGCCACAGGGCUCGUCUCGGUGACUCUGACGGUCCCCGCGGCCCGGCGUGCCCGAUGCUGGGCUCGGCUGGGAAGGCGAGAGGGUGGGUCACCUGCGGGAGGAGGUAUGUCACCUUCCUCUCGGUGACAUACUCGGUUGUGGUGUGACAAAGCACCUGGGAUUUGUGCAACCACCUCCUCAGAGGCUGGUUCUGGUACAACUUCACGGCAGUCUUCGUUUUAAAACACACCCAAGUGUCGUGUGAGCUCGUAAGAGGCUUGGUACUCCAGCUAGCCCAGGAAGUGAGCUCUCUCCUUCCCCUAGAACACGCUUUUUUGCAGCUGAGGUGUGAGAAUUACUGGUCAAAAAGCAAGUACCAUUUUUGAAAUUUGUGUGUUUCUAGAUGAAAGGGGUCAAGGAAGGUUCUCCAAGAGAGGGGGAGUGAGGCCUGGUUUCCUCUAAUGCUGUUUCAGCCCCCUUCUGCAGUACCUUCCAGAGAUGUGCUGGGGAUUUGAUUUUCAUUUUGUGAGGUACUGGUAAGAUCUGGGCUUUGGAAAACACAAGCAAAAUAUGGAGAUCUAUAAUUUUGACAUUCCAUGGGAGAUGAAAUUAGUGCCAUUGCACACAGACCAGAAAUACAUAGGAAUGGAUUGGGUUGCAACUUGGCCUCCACAGGAUGAAAGAAGCAACUGAUCAUGCCAUUCACUGAAGGGAGUCUGCUGUGAUUUCUGAUUUGCAGAACAAAGUAAGACAUAUGAUCUGUCUCGGCAGAUAAAAAAAACUUUGAGUUCACUUCUAAAAUUUAUUUGAUUCUGAAAGCUGUAAGUGUUGUUGCUUUCAUGGUGGCUUUUUUUCAUUCAGUAUCUUGUCACUUUCUCUGUGUACAUUUUACGUUUGUAAAUGAGAGCAUUUCAUCGCAGUCUUUGAGAAGAUGAGUUAUCAGCAUGUGCUGCAGCGAGUCAGUUUCAGGUCAAGCAGCGGUAGGAGGCAGCAAUUCUUGCAGCGGCCAUAAAUCAGAUUUGUGACGGUGCGGCUCCAUCUAGUGAUUCUUCUCUACAACUACAAGGGAGAGGAACUGCGGCUUCCUCUGUUCAGUGAAACACAGGAAGCGUGCAAGCUUCCAGUGUUAGAUUGACCUCUGGACUCGAUUCGAUGCCCCAUUUGGACAUCUCUAGGAGCGUCAGGUUUCUGAAAGCUCCAAGAGAACUGGUGAACUGAAUUGCUAACACACUUAAAUGCGUUUCUGAAAUUCCUCUCACCCCCAAGCUGUUAAUCAGUAAUAGCUUAACUUUGAUGGCAGCGUCGGGUGUUUUACUGUAUCGCUGUACUGGACAUUAUGUUGUUUCCUAUAGAUAAAGAAGCUGGUCUUCAGAUAUCUAAACCCCCACUUUCACAGUGGGGUCAAAAGAGUUAAAAAUCUUCCAGCUGGAUAGA